UUCGCAGAUGACAGUUAUUCUUUCUUUCAGGCUACGGCUAGGAAAGGCCGCUUUGUAAGGAAAUGUUGGAGACUUAUGAGCGGGCGUCUGGGUAAUCGGUGAAUUUUAAAAAAUAAGAGCUAGAACGGAUGAUUAACUCUUUUUGGUGGGGUACAAAGCCGGAUGAGCGUAGAAAUAUUCACUGGUUGUCAUGGGAGAGAAUAUGUUCGAGUAAGAAAGACAGGGAAUGGUUUCCGAAACCUUCAUAGCUUUAAUUUGGCACCUUUGGGCAAACAAGGUUGGCGUCUCCUAACCAACCAGAGUACUCUUCUUUAUCAAAUCCUCAAAGCAAAAUAUUUCUCAAAUGGAGAUUUUUAUAACACUGGUCUAGGGCGUAAUCCAAGUUUCAGAAUUUGAUACUAUUCACACAAGUUUAAAGAAAUCUUUAAAUUCUAUAGUAAAUGCAAGUGUAAACUAAAUUCCUAUGAGAUAAUGGUUAGAAUAAUAUGGCUCUUGCAAUGUUUGAUUUGAGAUUGAGACUUGUUGAUAUAUGGCAGCAACCAGAUAAGAGAAUUUCAUAAAUUUUUCUUGAGUUUAA